GGAGGAUUGACCGAGUGGCUAAGGAGCCUGAUUGGAAAUCAGGUAAGGCGUAACAGCCCCGUGGGUUCGAGUCCCAUGUCCUCCGCCA
rnacentral:tRNA from 9 species